rnacentral:rRNA from 1 species
AUUGAACGCUGGCGGCAGGCCUAACACAUGCAAGUCGAGCGGCAGCGGGAAAGUAGCUUGCUACUUUUGCCGGCGAGCGGCGGACGGGUGAGUAAUGCCUGGGAAAUUGCCCAGUCGAGGGGGAUAACAGUUGGAAACGACUGCUAAUACCGCAUACGCCCUACGGGGGAAAGCAGGGGACCUUCGGGCCUUGCGCGAUUGGAUAUGCCCAGGUGGGAUUAGCUAGUUGGUGAGGUAAUGGUUCACCAAGGCGACGAGCCCUAGCUGGUCUGGGAGGAUGAACAGCCACACAGGAACUGGGACACGGUCCAGACUCCUACGGGAGGCAGCAGUGGGGAAUAUUGCACAAUGGGGGAAACCGUGAUGCAGCCAUGCCGCGUGUGUGAAGAAGGCCUUCGGGUUGUAAAGCACUUUCAGCGAGGAGGAAAGGUUGAUGCCUAAUACGUAUCAACUGUGACGUUACUCGCAGAAGAAGCACCGGCUAACUCCGUGCCAGCCGCCGCGGUAAAAC